UAUAAAUAGAAAGUAACCAUAAGACAUAAUGCCAUGGAUUGAAUGUUUGUGUGUCCCCCCACCCAAUUCAUUUGUUGAAGCCCUAACCCUCAAUGUGAUGAUACUUGGAGGUGGGGCCUUUGAUGAGGUCAUAAAGGUGGAACCCCCAGAUAGGAUUAGUGUUCAUAUAAGAAGAGGAAGAGAGCAGAUCUUGUGCUCUCUUGCUGUCUCUCUCUUUCUCUGUCUCUCUCCCUCCCUGCCACGUGAGGAUACAUCUAGAAGGUACCCUUCUGCAAGCAAGGAAGAAGGCUCUCACCAAGAACCAAAUCUGCCAGCAAGUUGAUCUUGGACCUCCCAGCCUCCAGAACUGCUGUGGUCUUCUUAGAGGAGAGAGACUUAAUUUACUUAAUUGUAUAAACCCAGAAACCUGGCUUAGAGUAACAGCCUUGGACAUACUAAUAGGCUCAAGACAAGCAAAGCUAAGAAAGUUCCGUCAGUGCAGCAGACAAUUAUCCCCCUGACAAAAUCCCACGCUCGCAACCAGUGUUAACUUGGCAAAUCAGCCUAUAUUUUUCAAGUGCUCAUUAACUGUACUGCAGAAAUUUUUAUUCCUUCAAUAAUAAGCCCAAGAUUAAAUUCAUUACCACCUUGAAAAAAAGAACACAAGGAAGGAAAUAUCUCUUAUUGAACAUCUCAGCAUACACCAGGCAUGAUCCUGAUAGUUG